CACACUCUCUCACAAGCAAAGACGUACCUUUUAGAUUGGCACGAGGCAACACCGUCUCGUGCACUCUCGUGGACAAAGGAGAGGGGGAGCAGGCCGGCCAAGAAGCCGCAAAAAGGACCCCCUUUCCCUCAAAGUAAAACUCACAGGUCUGUGGCAGGGCGUGGAUGACUGAGAGGGGGCGAUGUUUCGCGUUUCCUUCACGCUGCUCGGCCAUGGCCAGUACAAGACCCGCCUAAAGAAGCGCAUGGUCGGCUUCAUUCCCAAGGUGAUUCCGCGCAAGAUUCGCAACAACAUGGUGGCACUGCGUAGCGAGGCAAACACGGGCCACAUGGAGGGGUACAUCAAGACGGAAGCAGAGCGCCUCGACGCUACGGGGCGAAAGCUGCAAAAGACUAUGUGGGACCCAGUGCUGCAGCGAUACACGUUGAUGAAGGAAACGAAGGUCCGUGGCCCCUUCCUGACGAAGAGCAACAUCGCCCGCAAGGUGGACUUUGCCAUUGGCGCACUACACGGCGCCAAAAGUGGGGAUAAAAAGUAGUCGACGCUGUACUUUGCGAGGAAUGUGUGUGGAGCACGCUUUCUAGAAGAUGCUCCAGGGCACCAUCACAGACGGAGGUAAAAAAAGGAAAUAAGUGACACAUACAUGCCCCUGCGUGUGUAUGCAUGUGAGAAGCGUGCUGCGCGCCUCGCUCGCCCGUCUUUCAGGCGAUGUCGGAACAAAAUCUAGUUCUUUCAUCCUUUUGUGCUCGCGGAGGUGUUGGGUUUCGCCAACGCUCUUCGUCGUUAGGUACACGUUGGUGUUGCAUGUUUCUGUGUUGAAAGAUGCAAGGGUGUUGUCAGGUGGUUGGGUGGAGUGGGGAUAUCCUGGCUGCUCACCUCAACCGGCUCACGUAAACGGAUGUCUUUGAGGUACCCCCUUAUGACGCCCACGGCGGGGCGCUCAGCAGGUACUGCGACGAUGCGAAGCAACAACUCGCCUGUGUGCGAUAUCAAGCACGCAAGCAUGUAGCAGCUCUGUGGAUUUUUUUUUACUUCUCCAUCGAAUUCCAAGAAGCGACGCG
rnacentral:misc_RNA from 1 species